ensembl:lncRNA
UUUUUUUUGCUUUGCUGCUGUUGUUGUUUAAAAAUGUUACUUUAUAAAAAUGUAAAUGACUGUACAGCAAAUCGUGUUUUUUAAUAUACCAUUUUUAAAACAUUGUGUGCGAAAUGAUGUUAUAAAUCAUUUGUAAUAUUUGAAAGAGAGAAAAAAAAAAAAAAAAAAAAAAAAAACACAAAGAAAAAAAAAAAAAACACAAAGAAAAAAAAAAAAAAAUGUUGCUUUUCCGAAAUGUAAUAAAGACAUAUGUAACUAAAAAGUAUUUUUGUUCAAGACUGUUUUUUCCUCAUCAAAAUGUUUACCUAUUAAGGUGUCAUGCAAAUUUAGACAUUUUGAAUGACAAAAAGGUAUAUUUUUCAGUUCUUACAAGUGACUGUGAUAAUAAUGAAGCUGCAAAAGAAAAUAUCGACAAUAAAUUUAUAAAUACAGACAUUAAUAAUGAUAACAAUAGUGCUAAAUGCAAUAGCAAUAAUGCUAAAUACGACGACGAUAGUGCUAAAUACGACGACGAUAGUGCUAAAUACAACGACGAUAGUGCUAAAUACAACGACGAUAGUGCUAAAUACGACGACAUCCAGCCGCACUGGAUAUACGCAGAUGAAAAAAAAACAAAAAAAUUGUAUAAUUUAGUAUCCAACAAAAAAGUAAGUACCAACUUAAGAACUGAAGAAACAGCAUAUUUAAGUAUAGGAAUGAAGUCGAAAAUGUUAAAAUAUAUAAUAAGAUUAAGAAAAAAAAGUAAUUUUCGUAAAAAAAUGAAUGCUUUUUUUGUUAAGGGUUCAAACGUAAUAACUCAUUUAUUAUAUAAUAAUAAUAAUCUAGUAUUUGAAGCGGUCUUAUCGAAUGACAAAAUGAUAUUGCAACAGUUUUUAAAAAAAUGUAAUAAAUUAUAUCAUGUAAAUAAUGAAAUCUUAAGGUAUAUUUUUAAUGAUUCAGUAAUAGUAUCUAAAGAAAAAGUGUAUGAUUCAGUAGGAAUAGUAAAAAUACCAACAAACAAUGAUGUGAUAAAAUCAUUAAAACAAAUAAAGUUCUUAUUAGCUUUAGAUCGAAUUCGAUAUGCAUAUAAUUUAGGAAAAAUAUUAAACGUUGCAUACUCAAUGAAUAUUGAUUGUAUAUUUUAUGCUUAUAAUACAGUAGAUCCAUUUAAUCAUAAAGUUAUAGAAGUAACAAAAGGAUUACAUUUAAAAAUACCUUAUUUAAAUGGUUCAUACUCCAACUUAAAAGACAUAUGUCAGCAACAUAAUUUAAUACCAAUGGUAGCACAUGUUGAUGGGACUAUGGAUUUACAUAAAAUUAUUAAAAAUUCGACAUACCAAGGAGUUUGUUUGAUAUUAGGGAACGAGUCCACGGGUCCACACAUGGACAUCUUAAAUUUUGCUAAACCAAUUAGUAUACCUAUGCACGAAAUGACAGACUCUUUAAACGUGUCGGUAGCGGCGAGUAUCCUAAUUCAUUAUAUUAAAAACGCUUUUUAGAUUUUUAUGUUUUCAAAAUUUUUAUAUAUAGGUAUGUGUAUAUAUAUAAUACAUGUAUUAAUAUAAAUGUGUACUCAAUUUUUUUUUUUUUUUUUUUUUUUUUUUUUUGCUAUACGACUCAUGGACAAUUAUGGCCAAUCAGGACUCGUGCAGUUUCGAACGGGGUAACACAAGUUCAUGCACACGCAAUAUAUAUUAUGAAUACAUAUUGAAAAAGUAUUUUCAAUUUAAUUAUCUCCUUACCCUCCUCUCCCUUUUUUUUGUUCAUAUUUUUUUUUCCUUCAUUGCUUCUUUUCCUUUUUUUGUUCAUAUAUUUUUCUCUUAAUUAUAUCACUUUUGUCAAUAUAUGUCAAUAUAUAUAUAUUUUUUUUUUUCUAUAAAAAAAUCACACUAAUUUAAUUUGUAUAUUAUACGUAAACAUGUUCUUUAAAAUGUACAUAAAUUCAUAAUUAAAAAAAAAAAAAAAAAAAAAAAAAAAAAAAAAAAAAAUUUUUUUUCUCUGGUUAAAGAUAUAUUUAGCUUUAUUAUUCUUCUUUGUUUACAAUUUUUUUUUUUUUUUUUUUUUUUAAAGCCAUUUUGCUUUAGCAUGUUAUAAAUUUAAACUGAUUCCUUCUAGAGGAAAUAAUUGUUAAACUACAAGAUAAGUGAAAGCGUAUAUAUGUACAUGCGCAUAUAUUAAUGAUUCAAUUUAUUACAAUUUUUAAUUUUUUGUAAAAAAAAAAAAACAAAAAAACAACAACAACAACAACAACAGCACGAGCUAUGUAAUAAUAACGCUAAAAAUAGCAAUAACUAUAGCAAUAAUAAUAAAAUGAUGCCUUAAAUAUGAGUUUAGAUACUC